rnacentral:lncRNA from 1 species
CUGGCUCCCACCCUGCUGGCUGAGACGCCUGCUGAUUCCGGACUUCCCAGCUUCCCGUCAGCACCCCUAGCCUCUCUGGGAUCUGUGCUGGCUACGUGGGGGAAUUCAGUUUGUGGAAAUUUCAGUGAGCCAUAAUCUUCAUUAUUCACAACAGCCAAGACAUGGAAACAACCUGAAUGUCCAUCAACAGAUCGGAUAAAGAAAAUGUGGGUCAGGCACGGCUGCUUAUGCCUGUAAUCGCAUCAUUUUGGGAGGUUGAGACGGACGUACCACUUGAGACCAGAAGUUCAAGAUCCAUCUGGGAAACAUACUGAGACCUCGUCUUUGCAAAAAAAAAAAAAAAUGUUUUUAAUUAGCUGGGCAUGAUGGUAUGUGCCUAUAGUCCAACAUACUCAGGAGGCUGAGGCCAGAGGAUCAUUUGAGCCCAGGAGUUCGAGGUUACAGUGAACUAUGGAUCACACCACUGUACUCAAGCCUGGUGGGCAACAGAGUCAGACCCUGUUCUAAAAAAAUGAAAGGAAAAGAAAAGAAAACAUGAUGUGUAUACACAAACACCCACAUGCACACAAUGGAAUAAUGUUCGGUCAUAAAAAAGUAGAUCCUGCCAUUUGCCAUAACAUGUAUAAACCUGGAAAACAUUAUACAAAGUAAAGUAGGCCAGACACAGAAAGAAAAUUACUGCUUGAUCUCAAAUAUAUAGAGACAGAGAAUAAAACAGUAUUUACCAGGGGCAGGUAGCAGGGGAAUGAAGGAGGGGAUGGGAGAUGUAGUCAAAGAAUACAAAAUAGCAGAUAUGUAGGAUGAUUAAGUCUAGAAAUCCAAUGUACAACAUGAGGACUGUAGGUAACAAAACUAUUGCAUUUGGGAUGUUGUGCUAAAGGAGUAGAGUUUAGCUGCUCUUGACACACAAAAAGGGGGCUAGCUGUGUAAAUUGAUAGAUAUGUUAAUUUGCUUUACGACAGAAAAGCAUUUUAUGAUAUAUAUGUAUCUCAUAAUAUAAUGCUGUAAAUCUUAAAUAUGCACAAUAAAAUAUUUUUUAAAAAACCCAACAAAAAAGUUGAAAGUUAAAGAAUGGCAAAGUAUAUACCAUGUAAAUACUAGUCCAAAAAGUUUGUGUAACCACUCUAAUAUCAGACUCUAAAGCUUGAAACAUUUAUAGAGAUAAAGAAGAACAUUUCAUAAUGAUAAAUAAGACAACUGAAUAGAAAGAUGUCACAUUUCCAAAAAUGUAUGCAUCUAAUAACAUAGCUUUCAAAAUAUUUAAAACAAGAACUGACAGAACUAAAAGACAAAUUCAAAAUCACAGAAACUUUAGGAUAUUUAUCUCAAUACACGAUAAAGCAAAGAAAAAAAAUAAAUUAGGGCAUAGAUUUGAACAUCACAAUUAACAAACUUGACACUAUUAAUUAACCUGUACAGAAAAUUAAAUGAAGCAAGAGCAAAAUUCAUACAAUUUUCAAGUUCCAUAGAACAUUUAUAAAAAAUAACCAAAUGCCAGAUCAGAAAGAAGGCUCAACAGAAUUCAAAAAAUUAAAAUACUUUACAAUAAGUUCUAUGACUAAAUGGAGAUAAGCUACAUAUCAAUAACAAAUAUGUAACUAGAAAAUCUCCAACCACCUGAAAAUUAAACAACAAAAUACUAAGGAAUUUAUAAGUUGAAAAAAGAAACUGAAACUUGGGUAGGAAGCUGAAGAAGGGCUUAAAGGAAAAUUGAUAGACAUAAAUGCAUAUAUUAGAAAAAAGAAAAGACUAUCAAUAUUUUGAUUUUCCAUUUCAAAAAUCUAGAAAAGACCAAAUAAAAUUUGGAGAAGUGAUAGGAAUGAAAUAACAAAGAGCAACAUCAAUUUUAAAAUACAGUUCAGAAAAUCAACAUUAAAAGUUGGUUGGCUACGCACAGACUUGGGAAAUAUGGUAACAUUAGAUAGUGGGAUUCCAAAAGUGAGGGGGGAUCGCAGGCUAAAAAACUUCCUCUUGGAUACUAUGUCCACUAUCUGGGUGACGUGAUCAAUAGGAGUCCAAACACAGCAUCAUGCAAUAUACGCUUGUUAAACAAACCUGCAUAUGUCCCCUGUGAAUCUAAAAUUAAAAUUUUAAAAAUUGAAAGUUGGUAUUUUGAAAAGAUUAGUAAUAUUGAUAAAUCCCUAUCAAGACUAAUCAAUGAAAAAGAUAAUAAAAAUUAUCAAUAUCAGGAAAAAUGAAACAUCAUUACAAAGCCAACAGACAUUGAAAAGAUGAGAAUAUUAUUUAAAAUAUAUAUUAUGUGAUAAUUUAGAUAAAACAAUCACCUAAAAAAAUACGACUUAACCAAAGCUGACAGACACACAAAAAACACAAUAGAAACAAAACAAAAUAAUCCCAGUGUUUAAAGAGCCAUAGCUCACGUUUACCAGCUCUUUACAAUGAAAGAUAGAACAUCAUGGGAAAUUGUGCAUUAUGUCAGUACAAAGGACUUAAUAGAGGCUUGUUAGAGGAUUUUGGCUUGUGUUAGGCGAUUUAUAAAUAAUUCAAGAAAAAUGUACUUUUCCUGGGAAUUGGGUGUGAUCAGAAAGAGCAAACAAUGGUUUAGUAUCUUAAUUUUUAUGUAUAUGUAAGAGAAAUGGAGUGGGACUAAACUAUCAUUGGUAAAGAAGCAGGAGUCACUCAUAUUAACUGGGAGAAGAGAAUGUUUGGUUAUUUUUGUGUUAUGGAAAGUGUUCCUGUUUUUUGUGCUCAAACAUGACUGCAGUCAGAGUGACCUCUCUGAUGUUGGUGUUUUAUGAAAUGAUUUAUGUUCAACAGGAGUACACAAAGUCCAAGCUAUUAGAAUCUGGCCAGAUCUCAGUCUAGAGUAGUCAGGUGCUGCUUUUUUUCUUUCUCAUUUACUCAAAGUACAAAAAGAAGCAAAACUUCUCUAUGCUGUUGUAAGUUAGGAAUGUGGUUAUCCUUGUGGAGAAGAGGUGUAGUAAGUAAGUGGGCUUCUGGAGUGCUAAUAAAGCUCUUAUGUCUUGAUCUGGGUGUUUAUACAGGUGUAUUCAAUUUGUAAAAAUUCAUUAGCUAUAAAUUUAGGUAUUCUUUUCUUUACGCAUAUUUAUUUUUAAAUAAAAAGUUAAAAUAAAAAAAGUUUUUCUUUGGUGAGUAGAACUAGUCAUGGGAGGGGAGGAACAGAAUGCUGCUGCACUUCUGUAUCAUUUGACUUUACAACCCAUGCAUGUACUACUUUGAUAAAACAUUUUUGAAAAUAUUUUAAAAUAAAUAUUUUAUUGUCUAAAAAAGA